CACAUACCUGGGAUUGAGGUCGGAAAAGGGAAUGAAACCACAGAUAACGAGUUCCUUCCACCUGUCAGACCCACACCCAGCUCCUCGCCUUCAGGCUCUGAGGCCAUCACUGCCCCCACCACCCCUCUUGGGGACCUUCUGUUCAUACCUUUGAUCACGUCGUGUGAAUUCCUAUCUCCAGAUUCUGUUUCUUUUCCUCUUACUGGCUGGAAUGCUUUUGUCUCCUUACCUAAUUAGCCAUUUUCCAGAGCCCAAUUCCAGACUGGUCUCCACCUAGACUGGUCAUAAGACUGGUGACCUGCAGCUCCUCUAAACUCUAAAUUAAGUUCUCUUGUAUUCCACAGAACUUGGUGCUUCUAGGCUAGCAAGCACCCCUCAGCAUUCACCCCAGCCUGCCUUCUCUCCCAAGGCUUUUCUACAGUCUCCCCAUGUGUAUUCAGGGUCCCAUUCACUUGUGCCCCUGCCCCAUGGAAACUUGGAGAGCAUUCUGACUUAGCUAGAGACACAGAACAAUAAUAGUUUAUUCACUUUCUGCUUCCCCUGAUGAAAGAAGAGGCCCUCAGUAAAAGGCCCUGCUCAUAGCCAUCCUGCCCCGCAUUCCUUCCCAGGCCUCAGGGCCCACUUCUCGCUGGAACUGAGCCUGGGGAGGUUGCUUCUCUAUGGACUCAAGAUCCCCCAUGGUAGGUUAUCCUGGGACUGUGAAGUUCUUCAAAAAUAGAAAAAUUCAAGUUACAUAUUCCUAAGACCAAUUGUUUAAUGUCUGUCUGCAGUAAGUAUUCUAAAAGGACGUGGGUUGUGUGUAAUGAACUUCAAUAAUGAACUCCACUGUUUAAAAUGGAACGUAGAAAGUGCUUGGUAAGUGUUAAUUAGGUGAGUUAAAGUGUCCCUGGUGAAUCCAGACUUCUUGAGUUGCUUUCAAGUACCUCAGUUUUGUGCAGCAUAGAGAUUUAUAUUUUGAGGGCAUAUACUAUAUUUCUAUUUCUUUCUUUCUAAUGUCUUUUAUAAUGAAAGAGCAUGUUAUGGAGGAAAAAGAGGAAAGAAGAUGUGAAAGCUAUUGAGGGAGGCAGGUUGGGAGAGGAAAGGGAUAGGGGCUUGAGGGAGGAGCAUCCUCUAGAACCUGCAGACUCAUUGCAUUCACCUCAUCCAGUUGGUCCCUUCCAUCCACAUACUCAUAGCAGUUUCUCCCUUUGGUGAUCUGAGUGUCAGAAAAAGACUUAAAAGCUUACUUCUCUCUCUCUUUUUAUUUUUUGGCGGGAGGUAAUAGAAUCCCUCUGCUGUCAUCAGUGCUGUUCAGCCUGCAUGGAUUCAACUGCCAGUUGUGACCACGUGGUAUUAAAAGACUUCAGAAAUGAGAUAUAAAUAAAACCCCAAAGUGUUUUCCAUGAAAGGAGGCAUCCAGUAGGAGGACAGUGGAUCCACAGAGGAAAGAAAAGAAAAUCGUUCCUCUUUUUUCCUUUUCACUGCAACACUGAUAGAAGCAACUUAGACCAGAAGGAGUGGCCUUCAGGAGCCCAGCUUCAUUCUCUCAUUCUUUUAUAAAAGCACGGUGUCAGAGUUUGAGACACCUCCAGGAGAAAAACAGAAGUUUAAUAGC